UGCGAAUUGUUUUCACCAACCAUUUCUCCUUUAAGCGGGUAGUACCUGCGGGUGUCACAGGAGUAUGUUGAAGCCCCUGGCCGGUGGAUCUUCGACUGUGACUAUAUUAUUAACGAUAUUAACCCCUCCUUACACUAGUUGCCUAUUUAUCUGUCAUCCUAUGUGCGGCUUAAUCGCUUGCAGGUUCGUUGACACGUUUAUUUACUUGAACGUUAAAAUACAACUCUUAGCAAUGGAUAUCUUGGUUCUCGCAACGAUGAAGAACGCAGCGAAAUGCGAUACGUAAUGCGAAUUGCAGAAUUCAGUGAAUCAUCAAAUCUUUGAACGCAAAUUGCGCUCUUGGGUAGCCCUAGGAGCACGCCUAUCUCAGUAUCGGUUCAACAACAACUCAGCAGCGUGUGUGUAAUUAAGGCGCAAGCCUCAUUUGCAUAUUCGUGUUGGCUGGAUAAUGCGAGUCUGAUCGAUUCAAUUCGAUUAGUCUCGUUAAGUAUAUCGAGUGAGCAUAUAACUAACGCAAUCAAUUUCUGGCAACGGAAUAGUCGGUCUCUGACUGUCGAUGUGUGUGAGUGACGUGAAUACUGGCCUUCAUCGGUCUCCUUUUACGUGUAACUCAAUGACAUCGGUAUUAAAGUCUAGGAUAGAUGAACGAAUGCGUAUGAGUAAUGUUUUACGUACCGUGGUCA
rnacentral:rRNA from 1 species